rnacentral:rRNA from 1 species
GAUGAACGCUAGCGGCAGGCUUAAUACAUGCAAGUCGAGGGGCAGCACAGGUAGCAAUACUGGGUGGCGACCGGCAAACGGGUGCGGAACACGUACACAACUUACCUUAGAGUGGGGGAUAGCCCAGGGAAACUUGGAUUAAUACCCCAUAAAACAGGGGGCCCGCAUGGGCAUAUUGUUAAAGAUUUAUCGCUUUAAGAUGGGUGUGCGUAUGAUUAGGUAGUUGGUAGGGUAAAGGCCUACCAAGCCGACGAUCAUUAACUGGUGUGAGAGCACGACCUGGCACACGGGCACUGAGACACGGGCCCGACUCCUACGGGAGGCAGCAGUAAGGAAUAUUGGUCAAUGGACGGAAGUCUGAACCAGCCAUGCCGCGUGAAGGAUGAAGGUCCUCUGGAUUGUAAACUUCUUUUAUAGGGGGCGAAAAAGGGCCAUUCUUGGUCAACUGACGGUACCCUAUGAAUAAGCACCGGCUAACUCCGUGCCAGCCGCCGCGGUAAAAC